CCCUAUUCCUGGGCAGGUGGUCUCCUUCCGGCAACGACGAGUCUCCUGUGGUUACAUUGGGCCCUCCCGGAUAAUCCAGGACAAUCUCCCCAUCUCGAGAUCCUUAACUUAAUCACAUCUGCAAAGUCCCUUUUUCCCCGUGAACUCAUCUAUUCACAGAUUCCAGGAAUUAUAACGUGGACAUUUCUGGGGACCAUUAUUCUGCCUACCAUACACGCACCUCUUUCCAGGCAUCUUUUUCUCUAUCUAGUAUCACAGUAUUUAAAUACGUCGUAAGUCAGAAUGAUUUGCAAAUCCUCCCCCCUCUCCCAUGUAAGGAGAAAAGAUACGUGGCAUGAUAAUAACACCUACCAGACCUGACAGCAAUAAUGAGAAUAACGGUUCACAUUUAUUCAGUUAUUAAACCAGUGUUCUAUGCAA